ACCAAAAUGUCAAAAUUUACCUAUGAUUUUGGCAGGCAUUUCUGAAUAGUGACUGUGUGGAAUUGUUCUGUGUUUUCUCCUUUUGAAAAGGUCUUCUCUUCAGCAUUUAACCAAAUGAGGAGAGGAAUCAAAUUUAUUUAUGGAACUCCCAGCUGGCUCUUAUUUUUUUUUUUUUAAUCAUUAUUACAUCUUAAAUAGCUGCUGUCUGUAUUAGCCUCUAUCUCUUUCUGUCUCUUAAGAAGCACCUUAUUUACAAUAAGGAUGAUCUGGCUGGUUGAUACACUAUGAUAAGUACCAUACUUAAGGACUAGAGGCCUCCUCUUUAGCUUCCCCAGGACGUCAGAACUGCCCCAAAGGCUGAUAGAUAUGAGGUCUUCGGUGUUGUGAUGGAUUUCCAGCCUCUGCUCAUACAGAGCUGUGCAUCAGUUUGGGCAUCAUCCAGGCACA